rnacentral:rRNA from 1 species
GACGAACGCUGGCGGCGCGCCUAACACAUGCAAGUCGAACGAGCGAGCGAGAGCUUGCUUUCUCGAGCGAGUGGCGAACGGGUGAGUAACGCGUGAGGAACCUGCCUCAAAGAGGGGGACAACAGUUGGAAACGACUGCUAAUACCGCAUAAGCCCACGACCCGGCAUCGGGUAGAGGGAAAAGGAGCAAUCCGCUUUGAGAUGGCCUCGCGUCCGAUUAGCUAGUUGGUGGGGUAACGGCCCACCAAGGCGACGAUCGGUAGCCGGACUGAGAGGUUGAACGGCCACAUUGGGACUGAGACACGGCCCAGACUCCUACGGGAGGCAGCAGUGGGGAAUAUUGCACAAUGGGGGAAACCCUGAUGCAGCGACGCCGCGUGGAGGAAGAAGGUCUUCGGAUUGUAAACUCCUGUUGUGGAGGAAGAUAAUGACGGUACUCAACAAGGAAGUGACGGCUAACUACGUG